rnacentral:rRNA from 1 species
UACGUAGGGUGCGAGCGUUAAUCGGAAUUACUGGGCGUAAAGUGUGCGCAGGCGGCCGAGCAAGUCGAGUGUGAAAUCCCCGAGCUUAACUUGGGAAUUGCGCUCGAAACUACUUGGCUGGAGUGUGGCAGAGGGGGGUGGAAUUCCACGUGUAGCGGUGAAAUGCGUAGAGAUGUGGAGGAACACCAAUGGCGAAGGCAGCCCCCUGGGCCAACACUGACGCUCAUGCACGAAAGCGUGGGGAGCAAACAGG